CACACUCCUCCUGACAGACACUGGGAGUCCUGGGGCAGCAGGACUGGGGAGGGAGAGGCCCUGAUCUGGGUGCUCAGAGCUCAGAGGCUUGAAGGAGCCUGUGGCUGAAGCAGAUGAGCCUCCCCAGGAGCACAGGAUUCACAGGCAGUGCUUCCAUCAGUGCACUCCAGCUCUCCUGCCUCUGCCCUGGGAGCCAUACCCUCACAGGCUCAAAACAAAUGGACUUGCUGCUUUAAAAAACAUCUUGCUGAAGCAGCUCCUACUUGCAACGACGAAAAAGUGGAAUUUUAGCUGCUUCUGAGGGACAGAAUAAGGCUAAUGAAAUCAUGUCAGCUGAGCCACUUGAGGAGGGGCAAGCACACCAAGAUGGCAGAGAGAAACAAUUCCUGCAGAGAAGAGGAUCUGCUCAUUUGCAAUACGUUGGUGACAGCUGCCAUGUGCCAAAGGAUUGUGUGAUGGAGGACACGGCA
rnacentral:lncRNA from 1 species